GGGGAUUUAGCUCAGCAGACAUAAGCGCCUGCCUCACAAGCAGGCAGUCAUGAAUUCAUGAAUCCCUG
rnacentral:tRNA from 1 species